rnacentral:misc_RNA from 1 species
CAGGCUGCUCACCCUCAAG